rnacentral:lncRNA from 1 species
CAAAUUAUAAUUCUGUACAUAAGGAUAAAAUUGUAAUUUAAAAUAAUUUACUCCCAAUCCAAGACAAAGUAAACAAAUAAUUGGGAUUCUGGUUGACAAUCCAUACUUUCAUUUAGUAUAAGUAAACACCCUACUCCCACUCCCACUCCAUACUCUUAAUCCAAAGAUUCUCACUCCUCAGGAUUCCCACUCCAAUCAAAAAAGUAAACGCAGCAUAAAUGUUGUAGAUGAUCUAUCAUUUGUCAUGCUGUAAGCAAACGACAAGACAUUCACUAAGAAAUAAGUUGGACGGCAUAUUAUUGAUGCCAUUCAUGCAACUGACAAGUAUAAAUAGUACGUGUUAGUGCAUGUUAUGGAUGAUUCGUUGUGUUCUUCAGAGAAAUGAUGAGUCAUUAAGCUCAUAAGCGCUUCAAUAACAUGACAUCUGACUGGUUGAUCGAAAAAUGAUCUGUCAUCUGCAAAGUUAAAUUCCAAUUUACUUGAAUAAAAAUAAGAUGAUAAUUGUUUUUUUAACAGUUACAUAAAAUAAUAAUAAUCACAUUUGAGUUCUAA